AAAAUUAAGUACACCAAAGACAGAUCUAGCCUGAUUUUCACUCUGAAUGCUGUUAAGUCCUAAGAAGACGCAAUGAUAAAUGAUCUAUCUGUCUAUCUGUAACAUCUGUUUCCAAUUGCAAAUGAUUAGUCACAUGAAAGAGUGCACCAAAGGAAAUAUAAAUUAAGAUAUAUGGCAGCUGUGUUCAGUCUUGCCUUGUUCUGGGAAGAAUGAAUGAACAUCCAAGUUUGGUCUAAAAAUCCAAUCUGCAUCUUGGUACAGAUGCUGAUGCUGGAUCUUUUGCCAGGAGAGAGCAGGAGUGGAGAAGAGGAUAGUGGAAACACCAGUCCACCAUGUCUCCCACCAGCCUUUAACAGUAUCUGGAACACCUGCAGGAAGAACUGUCAGGAGGAAGCGGAGGCAGUGCUGAGCUCUGGAAUGCUGCCGCUGCCGCCAUCAUUUCUAUUCUUGUGGAGCAAUAAGCUGCACCCCUGUUGGUAGGCCAUCUCCAAAAUGGAUUUGCUGCAUAACAUCGCACAUGUAGAACAGGCCAGAAUUAUGGCAGGCAGAGAAAUCGGAGGUCAAGGAAAAGACUGAAAGUGAAGUCGGAGGAAGAAGGAGGUGUUCCCUCCACACAGUCAAGAUGGCUCAAGUCAAAACAAUGAAAUAGACGCUCACACUAAUAGAAGAAGGAACGACCCUAACAUCUUUGACAAGAUUCUGAAUUUGCAGUGUUCAAUUUACCUGGAUUUUCAUAUUGUAAGAGAGAUGGGGGGGUGUACCACCUACAAUAUUUGACUUGUAACUGUAACUUUUGGGAGCAGCCAAAUUGCUUUCCUAGCUGCUCUGUGUCUUUCCAGUUUGAGUGGCUAUUUGGGAGCAGAUUAGAUUUGAAAAAAUGAAACGGUUCUUCCUCCUCCCCCAUUAACUAUAAUGCAGAUUCUUAAAAAAAGCUAUAACAUUUUCCCCUUUGCAGACAUAACAGAUCCUCCAGGGUAGAUUAAACCAAAUUGUAGGCAGAUACAUCCAGGGGUUAUUGUGAAAUUAAAAUAAAUUAAAAAAUUUAAAUAACAAAGUAAAAGUCCCCCCCCCCCCGGAAUUGGAUGCAAUUAUCAGGCCGGGUCACCCCUUCUGAGGAUAUAAAGCCUGCCAAAUUGCAGAAUAGCAGCUGUGGUCAUUCUUCCACAAAGGCAAUCUUUACUGUUUUGGAUGGGUACAACUGUAAUGAUAGGGGGAGUGGGGUGAUGGUAGAAAAAAGAGCAUGGAUCCCCAGAAAAAUAUCACUCCCCCUACCAAGUGUCCUGUUGCCCUAAGGGUCAAUGAUGGAGGAUGGGCUUCUCCCCUCAAUCUAUGAUGGUGUUUUGGAGAUAUAGCCUUUCCUCCCUGUGUGAGAGAGAACUCUCCAUUGCCCUGAAUAGGGGAAGGCAUAGAUCCACAUAAAUAACAAGCACAGUUUUUCUCCCAAUCACUAUGAUUGGAGUCUCCUGGAUAAAUAUUUCACUGUAAUUAAAAAGUGAGACCUGUCUGCCAAAAUGAAAGAUCCUUCUACCUCCCUUUGUCUUGAGCUCUGGGCACUUCCCCAAUCAGCUUGGUUUAGUUUCUCUAGAAAAGAGCCAAUACACAAUACAGUAUAAUACACACACGCACGCACACAAUUUCAUCAUAAUCUUUUACACUUUUUUUUUCUUGGUUGGUUAUUUCUCCAAGCACUAAAUUUCCUGCGAAAAUGCCUUUGAAAGUUGAUACUAGGAAUCAAAGAGAGAGAACAAAGUUUGAGCAGGUGUGAAAAAACAUCUCUUCUCCAUUAGAUUGUAUUACUGUGAAAACCACACCAAGCUAGCAAAACCAAGCUUGGAGGAGAAAUUCAAUAGCACUGGAAUUGCUAUUUGGGCUGAUGGGAGUUAUAGGCCAAAACAUCUGGAGGGCACCAGGUUGGUGAUGGCUGUGUUAGCAUGUCAAACCAUAUAUUCUGCAACUGCAUAGUGGAAAAAGGCACUGGCAACAGAAUUCUAUUUCAGCUAAACUAGGUGUUUGUUGAUAGAUAGCAAGAAAUGUUGGCCUUAAUCCUUCUCUAGGUUUCCCUGCUUGUUUGGUAACCAAGUUAAUGGUGUUGGUAUGAUUCUCUAUUCAGGACAGGCAUGGUCUCCUUUGCACUUUGAACCAGAUUAGAAAAUCCAGUGGCUUUAUUACAGAAUUACUGAUGAGAGAGGGAAAUGGACCAUCCAGCCUGUAUUGUCUUCAGGAUAUCUUUAACUAAUACAUCUUUGGCCAAUUCCUCUACAACCUUUUCUUGAAAAGCCCCAGAGAAUGAGAUUAUACACCCCUGUUUCAGCAAUUUCUCCCCUUGAUGUUUAACUCCAAUCUGAUUGUUUGUAGUUGGAAACCUUUACUCCACAUCCAAUUAUAUUCACUUGGCUGAUCUCCUUGCCCAAUAGAGCCUGAUUAUGAGGUUUUACUAAUGCUGACUCAAGGCAUUUUGGUGCCUGAAGCAGAGCUGGAAUAAUGCUCCUCCCAGGGGCAGAGUUCUGAGGAAUGGCCAUGUCCCAGUCACCUAAUUUGCAUGCAGAAGGUCCUAGGUUCAAUGCCCAGCGUGUCCAGGUAGGACUGGAGCAGCACGCUGUAUGAAACCCUGGAGGGCCAUUGCUAGUCGGUGUAGUCAGUAUUG